rnacentral:rRNA from 1 species
GGUGCUGCAUGGCUGUCGUCAGCUCGUGUCGUGAGAUGUUGGUUAAGUCCCGCAACGAGCGCAACCCCUAUCCUCAGUUGCCAUCAUUAAGUUGGGCACUCUGUGGAGACUGCCGGUGUUAAACCGGAGGAAGGUGGGGAUGACGUCAAGUCCUCAUGGCCCUUAUGACCAGGGCUACACACGUGCUACAAUGGCCGGUACAAAGAGUUGCAAUACCGCGAGGUGGAGCUAAUCUCAUAAAGCCGGUCUCAGUUCGGAUUGGAGUCUGCAACUCGACUCCAUGAAGUUGGAAUCGCUAGUAAUCGCGGAUCAGCACGCCGCGGUGAAUACGUUCCCGGGCCUU